rnacentral:snRNA from 15 species
CUACUUACCUGGCGCAGAGGUUAGCCGUGAUCACGAAGACGGUUCCUCCGGAGUGAGGCUUGGUCAUUGCAUAUUCGGGUGAGUUGACCUCUGCGAUUAUUCCUAAUGUAAAUAACUCGUGCGUGUAAUUUUUGUUGAACAAAAAUAUAUAUACAUGCAUACAUAUAUUGC